CUUGGUCAUUUAGAGGAAGUAAAAGUCGUAACAAGGUCUCCGUAGGUGAACCUGCGGAGGGAUCAUUACUGAAUGGCCCUGGGCCUUCAACCUUACAAACCUGUGGAAGCAACAUGUGCUUCGGCGCCUUUGGCGUCGCAUUUAUGCUGCAAUAAGCCCAUGUGUCUGAAUCAAAUACAAGAAAUAAAACUUUCAACAACGGAUCUCUUGGUUCUGGCAUCGAUGAAGAACGCAGCGAAAUGCGAUAAGUAAUGUGAAUUGCAGAAUUCAGUGAAUCAUCGAAUCUUUGAACGCACAUUGCGCCCCUUGGUAUUCCGGGGGGCAUGCCUGUUCGAGCGUCAUUAUAACCCUCAAGCCUAGCUUGGUGUUGGAGCCUGCCUCUGGGCAGCUCUUAAAAUCAGUGGCGGUGCCGUCUGGCUCUAAGCGUAGUAAUUUUUCUCGCUACAGAGUCCCGGCGGUUGCUUGCCAACAACCCCAAAUUUUCUAUGGUUGACCUCGGAUCAGGUAGGGAUACCCGCUGAACUUAAGCAUAUCAAUAAGCGGAGGAAAAGAAACCAACAGGGAUUGCCUCAGUAACGGCGAGUGAAGCGGCAACAGCUCAAAUUUGAAAUCUGGCUCUUUCAGGGUCCGAGUUGUAAUUUGUAGAAGAUGCUUCGGGUGUGGUUCCGGUCUAAGUUCCUUGGAACAGGACGUCAUAGAGGGUGAGAAUCCCGUAUGUGACCGGCUACCUUCGCUCAUGUGAAGCUCUUUCGACGAGUCGAGUUGUUUGGGAAUGCAGCUCAAAAUGGGUGGUAAAUUUCAUCUAAAGCUAAAUAUUGGCCAGAGACCGAUAGCGCACAAGUAGAGUGAUCGAAAGAUGAAA
rnacentral:rRNA from 1 species